GACGAACGCUGGCGGCGUGCCUAAUACAUGCAAGUAGAACGCAGUUGCGACAGGGUGAGUAGAGCGUUGGUUACUGCCUGGUAGCGUAGGCCAACUAUUGGAAACGCUCGCUAAAACCGCUUCCUACCAGAUUGACCUGCAUUGUUUUAGCCAGUUGGUGGGGUCACGGCUCACCAAGGCAACGAUACAAAGCCGACCUGAGAUGGUGAUCGGCCACACUGGGACGGAUACACGGCCCAGACUCCUACGGGAGGCAGCAGUAGGGAAUCUUCGGCAAUGGACGGAAGUCUGACCGAGCAACGCCGCGUGAGUGAAGAAGGUUUUCGGAUCGUAAAGCUCUGUUGUAAGGGAAGCGGUAUCUUACCAGAAAGGGACGGCUAACUACGUGCCAGCAGCCGCGGUAAUAC
rnacentral:rRNA from 1 species